UACGAAGGGUCCAAGCGUUAUCCGGAUUUAUUGGGCUUAAAGGGUGCGUAGGCGGGUUGUUAAGUCAGUGGUGAAAUCUUGCAGCUUAACUGUAAAAUUGCCAUUGAUACUGACGAUCUUGAGUACGCUUGAAGUGGACGGAAUAUGUCAUGUAGAGGUGAAAUUCUUAGAGAUGACAUAGAACACCGAUUGCGAAGGCAGCUCACUAAAUUGUAACUGACGCUGAGGCACGAAAGCGUGGGGAUCAAACAGG
rnacentral:rRNA from 1 species